UGUUUUCUAGUUUUCAAUUGGUUAUAGUAAGGGACAGCAAGUCCUUAAGACAGGCCAGCAUUCACCCACCCACCUCAUGGAAGGUGUGACAGGACACAGGCAAACCCAUAACUGCUAACUCGUUUCCUGUUAAGGCAGGUGCACUGAACAGCCUAGUAACUUUUCUUGAGCACAAGGUACAGAUUAAGAUUUGGCCUGAGAAAGAACAUAGAGCAUUUCUCUCGGGAAGAAAGCUAACACCAUGCUGAUCACCAGCCUGCUGAGAGCAGCCAUUGCCUCCAUCUGUCUUGAAGCCAGCAUGUCUCAGAAGGUAACUCAGGCUCAGACUGAAAUUUGUAUCAUGGAGAAGAAGAAUGUGACAUUGGACUGUGUUUAUGAAACUCGCGAAACUACUUACUACUUAUUCUGGUACAAGCAAACCCCAAGUAGGGAAAUGGUUUUCCUUGUUCGCCAGGACUCUUAUAAUGAGGAAAAUGCAACAGAGGGUCGCUAUUCUCUGAACUUCCAGAAAUCUGCCAGCUACAUUGGACUCACCAUCACAGCCACAUGGGUUCAGGAUGCAGCAGUAUAUUUCUGUGCUCUGAGGGAGAGCACAGUGAGAGGAGUGUCUACGGGAGUCCCACAAAAACCCCAACAAGAGAUAGAGACCCUGGGGAGACACUUCACACAGAGAGGAGGAAGCAGGGGCUGUAGUAGUACAGGGGGCACCUAG